CUGAGUACACAAGGUCUGCAGAUAAGCUGCAGGUAAACUGUGGUUGUCGUAGCAACAAGGAGAGGAAACGGGGGCAGAGGGCACUGGCUCAGGCACCUGGUCCGGUUCCAUCGGGAGGUCCGGUUCCAUCGGGAGGUCCGGUUCCAUCGGGAGGUCCGGUUCCAUCGGGAGGUCCGGUUCCAUCGGGAGGUCCGGUUCCAUCGGUCGCAGCCGAACCGAGCGGAACCGCAAACAGACCGUGUUGAGCCCACCUCCGGUCCUCCUCCAAACUUGGCCCGUCGGAAAGCGUCCGGCGCGGGGACGGGAUCCAGACCGAGCCCCGCCAGCAGCCGGCAGAGAGAGCCGAUCACCCGCCUCACGUCCACGCUGCCAGCCGCCUGGCUGCGCUGCAUCUCGGCCCGGAGUCCAGGACACGACCGAACCACGGAGCAUCAGAACCGAAUCACCAUGGCAUCGAGAAGCCGAUCCGCACCAUGAGAGCUUCGGUUCAUCCUGAGGAAGGUGAAUGUUGGGAAGAAUAACGCCACCAUCCUUGACCUUCCUGAGGUCAGCGGCUGAGAGCAUUCAUCCGAACAUCUCAACAUCAUAAAGUGCAUCUGAUUUCAACCAGCAGAGGGCGCAGUCCUCCACUUCUCCUGGGUUUCUCUGCAGAGUGGCUGAUGAGGGUCAGGAGCAGAACCAGAACCAGAACCAGAACCAGAACCAGAACCAGAGGAUCUGAGGCGUCUGGAAGAACCAGAACCCCCUGAGGCCCAAACCUGGACCGAAAGCAGAGAGUUGGUUCCGUCAGGCCUGAGAUGGGCCGGACCAGAACAUAAAGAUGGUUUCGAAAUGCUUCACCCAGGUUCUGCAGGGGGAACUGGCUCGGUUUGCCAGGAAGUCCAACUUCUCAGCCCACACGGUUCUGCUCUGAGCUGCAGGCCCGGCCGCACACAGAGACCACAGGGCCCGGUUCUGAUGGACAUGAAGCCAGUCCAGAACCAGUCUGGACUGGUGAUAACUGGGUGAUCCGGCCCAGUAAACCAGCAGAACCCCCGCGGCGCCACAGGAACUGGCUCACAGAUAAAGUAUUCAUGGUGGCAGCUUGUCUCUCGCUCUGGCCUCAUUCACAGCGCUCCAAUUAAUCAGCCUGAAAUAGACGGACGGACCUACAUCCCCUGCGUCCCCCAUAGACCAUCUGACACGCAGGGGGCAGCAGAGAGUCGAUGCGG